UGAUGCAUCUUCUCUAAUACAAUGCAUCACUACAUUAUGAAAGCUGCUGGUUUUUUGUUCACCCCACAAAAGGAAAGAUUUGCCCAGGGAAAUGACCCCAGGUGGUCCAAGGUUCUCCUUAUUAUUAAAAAAAUAGAUAGUUAGAUCAUCCAAAGUAGCAGCUUGAAGUUUAUGUGAUAUAAUAGAAAGCCAAUGGGUUAUUUGGUACUUGUUUUUCAAUUGGGGAACUGAGAUCCACCAAUGCGCUAAUAAGUUCAGCUAGCACUUGGUAAUUCUUGGGGUAUUAAAAUGCCACCAGUAGUUUCUGAAUUAGUGGAGGAUUCUUUUCCAAUGUCAAGUUUACUUUACGGUUCACCCGCUUUGGAAUCUAAUCUAUUUUUAGUCACUUAAGCUGUUUGGCCAUAUUGGAGCCCUUCUAUAGUGGCGGGUUGCUUCUUGUCUCUUUGAGAGCUGACAUUUGGGUCCAAGAAGUGCUACUAUGUACCAGCCAAGCAAGAGGUGCAAUACUAUUCUAUGGAAAGCUAAAUGCAAGUUUCCUGGAGUGGUUGAGGAUUUGUGUGAACUUAUAUCCAAUGCAAAUGUUUUAAAAUACAGUCAUAGCCGCAUUUCUUUAUCAUUCUCUUUGAAAAGAUGGAAGCAGCAAGA